rnacentral:rRNA from 1 species
AUUCCAGCUCCAAUAGCGUAUAUUAAAGUUGUUGCGGUUAAAAAGCCCGUAGUUGGAUCUCGGUUUCACUCAGGUGGUACACCUUGCGGUGUUCACUAUCUGGGUGGACGUUUCUGUUGGUUCGCUCUUGGUGCUCUUCAUCGGGUGCCAUUUGGUGGCCAGCACGUUUACUUUGAAAAAAUUGGAGUGCUCAAGCAGGCGUUACAGCCUGAACAUUAGUGCAUGGAAUAAUGGAAUAGGAUCUCGAUUCUAUUUCGUUGGCUUUCGGAGUCGAGGUAAUGAUUAAUAGGGACAGACGGGGGCAUUCGUACUGCGACGUUAGAGGUGAAAUUCUUGGAUCGUCGCAAGACGAACUACUGCGAAAGCAUUUGCCAAGAAUGUUUUCAUUAAUCAAGAACGAAAGUUAGAGGUUCGAAGGCGAUCAGAUACCGCCCUAGUUCUAACCAUAAACGAUGCCAACCGGCGAUCCGUCGUCGUUAAUUGAAUGACUCGACGGGCAGCCUCCGGGAAACCAGAGUGUUUGGGUUCCGGGGGAAGUAUGGUUGCAAAGCUGAAACUUAAAGGAAUUGACGGAAGGGCACCACCAGGAGUGGAGCCUGCGGCUUAAUUUGACUCAACACGGGAAAUCUCACCAGGCCCGGACACCGGAAGGAUUGACAGAUUGAGAGCUCUUUCUUGGUUCGGUGGGUGGUGGUGCAUGGCCGUUCUUAGUUGGUGGAGCGAUUUGUCUGGUUAAUUCCGAUAACGAACGAGACUCUGGCCUACUAACUAGAAGGUCUAUCCUUUAUGGGUAGGCCUCUGCUUCUUAGAGGGACGGGCGGCGUUUAGCCGCACGAGAAUGAGCAAUAACAGGUCUGUGAUGCCCUUAGAUGUUCUGGGCUGCACGCGCGCUACACUGAAGGAAUCAGCAUGUUCUCCCCUCCCUGAAAAGGGCGGGUAACCCGUUGAAACUCCUUCGUGAUGGGGAUUGGAGAUUGUAAUUAUUCUCCAUGAACGAGGAAUUCCCAGUAGGCGCGAGUCAUCAGCUUGCGUCGAUUACGUCCCUGCCCUCUGUACACACCGCCCGUCGCUACUACCGAUCGAGUGAUUUAGUGAGGACUUCGGACUGGUCUUCAAGUUGGCUUCGGUCGGCUCGAAGUUCCGGAAAGAUGCCCAAACUUGAUCACUUAGAGGAAGUAAAAGUCGUAACAAGGUUUCCGUAGGAACCUGCGGAAG